ensembl:lncRNA
GCAUACAUUGAUGUGUUUAAUAAAGCUGACAGUCUAUUAUUUGGGACUUUACAGGUGGACAGAAUCUAGGUAAGAGAGUUGUUCACUUCAUUGUACACAGAAUAAGCGAAAUAACCUAAAAUACACAGUAAAGUACUUUAGUGAAUGAAGAAUACAAAUUUGUACAACAAUCUCUACCAUGGUAUCUUAGUUACUCAAUAAAAAGUUCACUAGAAUAUUUAUUGUACUGUAUAAUGAAGAUAAAACAUCACAUUCAAUGGAAAUAAAAUGCAAAUUAACUUCUCUCUUGAUUUUGAAACAUUUUGUUUCAUUCAUGGCAACAAAGUCCAGCUUGUGCCGCCAAACAGUUUGAGCAUCCAAACCGCAAACAGCUUCUUAAAGUGAACUAUUAACUACAAACUGUUACCUAAUACACAGUUCUGUUUAUAAAAGCCAUAAAGCGAAGCAGUGUACUCUUGCACAUCAAAGUUAAGAAAGUUCUUUCCACAAAGUUCCAUUGUUUCCUUAAAUCCUGUUCUUUAACAUUCAACAAUUGUGCAUGUUUUCACCAAAAGAGCAAGUGUAUCCCUUUAAAUUCUCUAUACAUUCCUUGUGUGAAUCUGAUUUCAAGAGUAGCCAGUCUCUGUACUGUAAUGUACUAUUUGUCAGCUUCCUGUAAACUUGUUUACCUAUGGGGCAUCAGUUUAGAGCAAUGUGAGGCUUUUCUUGAUUUAUAACAGAGUAAUUCUUUGGGAUAAGGUUAUUUUAUAACCAUGCAUAUAAACAAUGAAUCUACAAAAAAUCCCUGAUACCCUAUCAAGUGCUAAAUUGUGCAUGUAAUUGUGUGAUGAUGCUAUGAAAAAAAGACUGCUACUGGCUUGUUCGAAUAGUGCAAUGGUUUUAUUGCUGUUCUGUAACCUGAAAUCUGUUUCUUAUGCAUGUCUAAAAUAAAUCUGAAUUGUCAAGUGGAAAAUCAUGUCUGUUCAAUAAGGUAUAUAUGAAUUCAGUUUGUGCUAUAUUCUGACUGUCCAGCUCUGCAGUGGCACUUAAGGACUAGAGGUUAACAGUCAUAUAAAAGGCCUGCAGGCCACAAAGCACGUAGUCUCUACAUCAUCACCUUCUCAAAUCUUCAUUUUAGUACUGUGGGUUGUAGUAUAUGGGACAUGCAAUAACACCUAAUAAUAGAAUGGACAUUUUAAGUGAUGUUUUUUUUUUUUUUUUAAAGGCUGCGCCUGGGCAGAGUAUGAGUUGUGAACUGCAUAGAUCACAAUUGGCCUACUGCCAACUGCCAUGGAUCAAAUGAAGGGUUGGAGGUAGGUGUGGAGGAGAAACACACAAGGGGAAAUAUAGCAAAUGUAAAGAGAUACUCCUUUUGUAGAGCAAACCAUACAAAUGUGUGCAAUCCAGCAGUGUGGGAUCAAGUUUAUUCUGUUGCAUUGUCUACGUUUUAGCUGCUGAAUCCUCUGAUACUUUGCCACCGUUGGGGAUGGUGCAUAAUGCAAGCCUGUAACAGAAAAGGACUCUUUGCAUGGUCUGAUAUGCUCACACAGGCAAACACACAACAGUGAAACAGAAAAUGGAUGCGGCCCCUCCUCUAAGUACUACACCCUGCUUAUGACGCCAGGAUUUCAGUUACCAGUAUUCAUUCUCUACAACUGAUAGGGCGCAAACAAUUUAUAAUACUGAUAAAUGUUAUACAUAACCGUAACUGAGAUUUACUUUGAGGCUAUGAUAUUUACAAAAUGUUUAAAAUGUAUUCAUAAGUAUGAAUCAUUUACCAGAGAGCGAUCAAUAAAUGGAUAACUAACUCUAAAUAGGUUUUUUGGCAUGGUUCAUGAAAUGGCAUGUCUUUCAAUUGAGGUAAGGUCAAUUACAAUUACAUUUCUUUCAAUGCUGAGAUGGUACCUUAGGUUUGAAAGUUGGCAGUGUAUUCAGCAGCUGCAGGUAAACUGUUAACAAAAUGGAGGGAACUAUGUUUUCCUUAGCAUGGUGAUAAUCCUUCACAACAUACAUUAUAGUGGAAUUGUAACCUUACAUCACUGUUAUUACAAUUACUUAAGGACAGACAUUUACCACUAUUAAAGGGAAAACGACCCAAAAAAACUCUGGAAAUAAAACCAAUUUGAUAACAG